rnacentral:tRNA from 1 species
GGGGUUCUAGCUCAUCGGUAGAGCGCUCGCUUAGCAUUCCGCUUGAAUCAAAUGCGAGAGGUACAGGAUUCGACUCCCUGGUACUCCA